rnacentral:rRNA from 1 species
CACGUAGGGCGCAAGCGUUGUCCGGAAUUAUUGGGCGUAAAGAGCUCGUAGGCGGUCUGUUGCGUCCGCUGUGAAAGCCCGGGGCUUAACCCCGGGUCUGCAGUGGAUACGGGCAGGCUAGAGGUAGGUAGGGGAGAAUGGAAUUCCCGGUGUAGCGGUGAAAUGCGCAGAUAUCGGGAGGAACACCAGUGGCGAAGGCGGCGAUCUGGGAAGAUACUGACGCUGAGGUGCGAAAGCGUGGGGAGCAAACAGG